rnacentral:snoRNA from 1 species
AUCCUCAGGUUCAUAAGUGUGAUGAUUGGGUUUUCAUGCUUCAUGCAUGACAUGUGCCUCCUUUGAACCUUGUUACAACAUCGGCACAUUACCCAUCUGACG